UGCUUGGAAGGGAGCUGUCUGGAAGGA
rnacentral:piRNA from 1 species